rnacentral:RNase_P_RNA from 1 species
GGAGGGAAGCUCAUCAGUGGGGCUACGAACUGAGUGCGUUGCGUCACUCUACCCCAUGUCCCUUGGGAAGGUCUGAGACUAGGGCCAAAUAGCGGCCCUAACAGGGCCCUCCCUGAACCGCGGGGAGGUGAGUUCCCAGAGAACGGGGCUCCGCGCGAGGGCAGACUAAUACCACGGCCACCAGAGACCUAGAAUGCAAAUGCUAACACAGCAAAUGGCAGGCCUGGGCUGGCAGUGGAUACCCAGGAACCGGCACACCCCACUGACACUGGGCCCACCCUGCCUAACUGCUCUCCAACCUCC